CGACUCCUACGGGGGGCAGCAGUGGGGAAUAUUGCACAAUGGGGGAAACCCUGAUGUAGCGACGCCGCGUGAGUGAAGAAGUAUUUCGGUAUGUAAAGCUCUAUCAGCAGGGAAGAAAAUGACGGCACCUGACUAAGAAGCCCCGGCUAACUACGUGCCAGCAGCCGCGGUAAUACGUAGGGGGCAUGCGUUAUCCGGAUUUACUGUGUGUAAAGGGAGCGUAGACGGCGCGGCAAGUCUGAAGUGAAAGGCAGGGGCUUAACCCCUGAACUGCUUUGGACACUGCCAU
rnacentral:rRNA from 1 species